AUUGAACGCUGGCGGCAGGCCUAACACAUGCAAGUAGAGCGAGAGGCGGACGGGGGAGUAAUGUCUGGGAAACAGCCUGAUGGAGGGGGGUAAAUACUGGAAACGGUAGCUAAUAUCGCAUACCAUCGGAUGUGCCCAGAUGGGGUUAGCUAGUAGGUGGGGGAACGGCUCACCGAGGCGACGAUCCCUAGCUGGUCUGAGAGGAUGACCAGCCACACUGGAACUGAGACACGGUCCAGACUCCUACGGGAGGCAGCAGUGGGGAAUAUUGCACAAUGGGCGCAGGCCUGAUGCAGCCAUGCCGCGUGUAUGAAGAAGGCCUUCGGGUUGUAAAGUACUUUCAGCGGGGAGGCGUUACCCGCAGAAGAAGCACCGGCUAACUCCGUGCCAGCAGCCGCGGUAAUUC
rnacentral:rRNA from 1 species